rnacentral:rRNA from 1 species
AUUGAACGCUAGCGGGAUGCUUUACACAUGCAAGUCGAACGGAGUGGAGGACGGGUGAGUAAUAUAUCGGAACGUGCCUAGUAGCGGGGGAUAACUACUCGAAAGAGUGGCUAAUACCGCAUAUUCUUGGAGCGGCCGAGAUCGGAUUAGGCAGGUGGUGGGGUAAAGGCUCACCAAGGGAACGAUCCGUAGCUGGUUUGAGAGGAAGACCAGCCACACUGGGGCUGAGACACGGCCGAGACGCGUACGAGAGGCAGCAGAGGGGAAUUUUGGACAAUGGGGGAAACCAUGAUCCAGCCAUCCCGCGUGUAUGAUGAAGGCCUUCGGGGUGUAAAAUACUGUUGGCAGAGAAGCGGUAUCUGCAGAAUAAGCACCGGCUAACUACGUGCCAGCAGCCGCGGUAAUAC